rnacentral:rRNA from 1 species
UACGUAGGGGGCUAGCGUUGUCCGGAUUUAUUGGGCGUAAAGAGCGUGUAGGCGGCCAGGUAGGUCUGGUGUGAAAACUCGAGGCUUAACCUCGAGAUGUCAUCGGAAACCAUCUGGCUAGAGUCCGAAGAGGAGAGUGGAAUUCCUGGUGUAGCGGUGAAAUGCGCAGAUAUCAGGAAGAACACCAAUGGCGAAAGCAGCUCUCUGGGACGGUACUGACGCUGAGACGCGAAAGCGUGGGGAGCGAACAGG